UCAUAUGAGUCAUUAAACAACUGUGGAGUAACAAAACAGGCAUUAAUAAAGUUAUUUAUAGUGUAGACUGACAUGCAUUGCUCAUAAGAUGAUACUGGACUUUAUUUCAAUUUCAUUUAAAAACACAUUCCAGUACAACGUUCACUCAAUCAUGUGUGGUAGAAAAAUCUCCACUACAUUUUGCGCCUGCCUCCUAAUCUACAUAUAUUGUAAUAGAAACUCGAGCUUCAACCCUAAACCACUGUUCAGUAUCAACUGUUUCGGCUUCUGACCAGCAUCCUCGAUCGUUCCAAUCAUAAUAAUUGGCAAAGGUCCUGAACAGAAACUUCCACUGUAUCACAGAGUGUUUUGUUUUUAAUCUUCAUGACUGCCUGCCCGCAUUACCUCCCUUCAGCAGUUCUGCUAGAUGUGGAACAGGUCAAGGGCGCUGCACCGACUGGCUCCGAUUAUGUGUUAUCAUGUGUAGGGGAAGCUGAUGGUGCCAAAGGGCCCAGGAAUUCAAGCGUACGCUCAGGGAAUUUUUUUGAAGGUCACGUUUUGUUUGUGUGUGUGUGUAUGUGUGAGGAAAGUGUCCUGUUGAAUAUGCGAUAUUGAAAAAAAAAACACUUUAGGUUUAGAAAUCCAUUUUGAUAUUCACAAGUCAGAGUACACUUAUACUAUAUAGUAUACCUUUAAACUAGGAAGGUUAAAUCGGGAAAGAAAAUAAGAAGAGGAAGAAUGUUUCUGGUUUGGUCGGUGGAUGGAUAUUUGGUUCCUGUGUAUGAUUUUUAAAGACCCUUGUUGAACAAGCAUCAAUUUCACUGUCAGGAUUAACACUAAACGUGUCUAAACGUAUAUAUCCCACAUAUGCAACCCACGUACGCGUGGAAUAAGAAGUCACUGCGUCGUCUUUGAUUAGCAGACACGCAUGCUAAUUAGUGCCAGAGUUAGCACCCUGCAUCUGCCCAGUUCCGUAUCUCUAUAUCGGGACGAGUGCGGCUAAUCAAAGUGACACGGCAAACAUGGUACGAUUACCGAGUUGUCACGAACGUUCAGUUUCCCCUUCAUCUCGACAGCUUGCUUUGCUAAGUGCCGAGCUAACUCUAAGGAUAUCUGUCAACUCUGUGGAUUCACGUAAUAAAAGAUGUGAAAGCUUCUAAGCUGCAGUCAUUAGACCAUGACCUAGGUCAUGGUACAUCGGUGCCUUGGUGUGUAUCUCUGGAAGCCAUGUUAACUGCUCCCUGAAGAACAUGUGUUUCAAAGCCAGAAGCAGAACAGGGACGAAAGUGAGCCCCAUUUGCUCCACUCGGUCUGCAGACUUCAAAGCUGUCCUUCAUCUUCAAUUAAUUGAAUUGCACUCUUGUUCUCCGCCCCAUAAGGCCCGGGAAAAAGGGAAAUUAUAAAACACGGUGAAAGUAAAAUGUGAGAGACGAUGAUGAUGGAGAUGAAAAUGAAUGAAGAGGCUCCGAGAGAUUCACGUGCAUACCAAUUUGCAUUUAUGUUUUCAAGAAAAAAAAGCCCAAUUAUCAGAGACACUUAUAUAUAAAAUAAGUGUCUCUACAGUUUACACAGAAUGGCGCAAAGAAACUGGACUUAAAUAAUCACUCUUUACAACCAUGGUAAGCAGAAAAGCAACUCAAGCCACUUUGAACCUUGAAGCAGAUGAGCUACAGAAGCAGAGGAACCACUCAGAGUCCGAUCGUGUCAGCAUGAAAACAGGAAUCUGACACUACAGUGGGCUCUGCUGGCAUAUGAUUGGCCAAAUGAAGAUGUACAUAAAGUGGACAGUGAGUGUACAUGACGUAUAGUUGGUUAAAGUCAUGCACUAUAGUAGGAAUCACUGUGCAAGUUGAGUACUAAAUAAAACGAGCGACACCGUGUGCAUUUCCAUCAAAGAUAAAAAGCGACAGUCAUCCAUCUUGAUCACGAGCAGGUAAACAUUGACGGCUGGGAGAUUUCUCCCUCAGGACGAAGCCUCUAAUCAGGCUCAGAUCUCAGAUAUGAAAGCCAGCCUGAAGUCUGCCCUCAAAUGCCACUCCGAGGUGCCAAGUGCUGGCUCUGAAAGCUUUCCCUGGCUGUGGAUAAAUGAUGGGGGCAACUGGGAUGUUGGGGUGGGUGGGGCAUGUGGUGGUGUGUGUGGGGUGACUUUCCAGCAGAAUCUUUUACAUUUGAAUCAUUAAUGUUUCAUCAAAGUGUGUGGGAAACAAGAACGGGAGAAAUCAGGCUAUGGAGCGUUCCUGCAAAACCCACCAUUUUUAAAACAGCUUGAUGUCGAGAUUUCAGAAACGAUGAGGCCGUGGUUACUCCUUUCAUCAGGCCAGAAGGAGAAGCAGAGGAAUUAUUAAACCAGCAUGCUUGAAAUAAAAAUAGGCAGUUUUAGUAUCUUUUCUCUGAUCUUACUCAGUAGCAGUCUGUAGAAAAGACAGAUAAUAUUUUUUAUCCAGCCUGGAAUUAAUGACACCUUAAGUUUAAACCAUGCCAAUUCUCACAUGAAACACAGAACAAUAGGCAAGCCUGUGUCCAAACGACAUGGCAUGGAGCAUCAAAAAAAUCAAGCAGUGACUAAAAAACUGCAGUGUGAUAAUGGAAAUGUAUUAGCAGCAUGUUUUUUGUAACUGGAAACACAAAAGGGAGGCAUGGAUUACGGCGAAUAGACGACAUGCAUCAUGUUUUGGAAGCAAACAAACUAAAAAAAACUGACUAAGAAGCAAUAAACAGCAUGACAGGAGAAAUUUAUGGGCGACCAAGAAAUCAUAAAAGGGGAAAAGCGUCUGCCUUUGACCAGGGACUAACUCUUCCCGAGCUCAUUAGGGCUUCGCCUUAAAUCUGAGCUCAGCGCACACAACAAAUGCACCAGCUCAUUUCCGGACAUGAGAGAAUUCUCUCCUGAUGGAUGCUGACUGCACUUUGAGCAGGCGACAGAAAUGAGAAAUGAGUAGCGUUCAUUCAGAAUUCAUGUCAAAGUCUAUUUCCCUGCAUCCUACCGACUCGCCUCUCACUGAUCAUGCUUACUUCAAAACAAAUGAUGCCCGAAGAAAGGGAGCAGUUCUGCACAUGGGGUGGAGGGGGCAGGAUUUGUUCCCUUAAGCAAAUCGGAGACAGGAUAAGUCUUAAA